rnacentral:lncRNA from 1 species
CAGCUGCAUAUUAUAGCCUCUAGGCUCCAUUAUAUACACAUAUACUCCUAGACAUUUUUUCUGGACACGGCAUCUACAAAUCAAAAGCAUGACUGUGGAAAUGGAAGACUGGAUGGUGGGAUUCUCUCUUUAAAUUCCGAGACCUGAUUUCUCUAGCAACACUGGUCUCAAGAGUUGGAGGACCGCAUAUGAUGACACCCACAUCUGCAUAACCCCAGUGCUCCGAUAUGGAUCCGAAUAUUUCUACAAUUAGGAAAAAGCACAUAGAAUAAAAGAAGCAGCAAUUUGUUCAGUUUAAAUGAAGAGGACUUAUUUAAUACUUUUGCAGUAUAAACUAGGUACAAACUAUGUACGAUGACAAGCUUGUAGCCACCGUAAAUGCUAUUUACUCCUAGUAUAACGUUGUGAUCUGUCAGCUGAUUUGGAAAUGAUUUUGAAUAACGGAAUAUAAAAAAAGCUUAAAGUCUGUUAUGAUAAUUUCAUACUUCUAUUCACAAAAGAUGCAAAUCACACCCAUUAAAUGUAUGUCGUCAAAUCUUCCCUAUUGAGUAACACAUGCCAGACAAAAUCUAACAUUGCAUGGAAUCAUACCUUUGAAGUCUGGUCUUGAACCAUACUGAAUAGUGGUUAUACUAGUAUGGUUUUUCUGAAACAAAUUCACCGCAUCUUCAUUAUGCUGAACCAUGCCAGGCUUUAGCCUAUUUUCCUCGUAUUCUUCCCUGGCAGAAAUCUUCUUUUCCCAAAGAUGCCAUAAACCAACCACAAGACCCCCAAAGAUAACAACACUUGCAAGCAUACAUCCGAAAAAAAGGAGUCCUUUGUACCACCAAGUUGAUAUGCUACAAGGAUUUAUGUAAAAUAUAUACAAAAUACCCAGCGAAAUAACAAAGCCCACUGUAGACGAGAUGACGUACAGGCCAGACCAUAUACUGUCACCUGUACCAACCAAAACCGACAUGCCACAGCCCUUUGACAUGGGGCAAACAGAAGAAACUGUAACAUUAUGAAUAUCACCCUCCUCCUGUAAAUAACAAUAAUUUAGAGAUGGCAAAAUUGGAUAAUUUGAACAUGAAAGACAGAAAAACAUCUAGGUAAAGACAUGUAACACGAGCAUAUUCAAUAAAAAUAAUCUUACCAAUGGAGGAUCUGACUCUCGAGUAACAUAGAUGGAAAUCUCAAGAUUUAAUUUGUCAUAGAAAUAUGGACAAAUUGAUUCCAGGUCCAUCGUCGAGAGAAGAGGAAGUUCAUUUGAUCUUUUCACAGCCCAAACAAUCAAAAUAUUCCGU